GGAGGCAGUCUGAUGCGCCUCCGCGUUAGGAAGAUUGGGGUUUGUUCCGGGUCUGUGAUAUUAGUUCUGGGACUAUUGUCAAGGUGCAAAACUGUACCGAGCUUCAUUUUCUUUAUGUGUAAAUGAAGCUGUCAGUACCUAUUCUACAGGAUUACUUUGAGGAUCAGUGAAAUAGUGUAGUGUCUCUACAUGGUUGGUUUUUAACAAUUAAUAUUCUUUCCUUUUCCGUGCCCCAGGGCCAGGACUCCAGUGAGCCCAACCUGGUGUUUUCCAGUGUUUUCAGGAGGCAUUCAUUCUCAGGGGCCCACCUGGGCUUGUGGAAGCCCGAGAGUGUGUAUCUCCUUGAAUUUUGCACCCUGGAUGCCUUCCUUGCUCACCCUGGACCCAGCCCUGCCCUGCUUUUGAGCAAUUUGUAUUCUUGGUUUAACAAAGUGUGGAGAGGACCCUCAAGGAUCUCAGAACCUACUGGAUGAGGCAGGAAAAUAAAAAGACACAGAGUGUGCUGUGUGAUCAGCAGAGAUGAAGAAAGCUUCCUUAGUGAAGGAGGAGAAUUACAGAGCAGCGCCAGCGUUGGGGAAACAUGCUCAACUUCCAGCAGUCAUUCCCGCUCGCCUCCUUUCUCUUUGCUCGAGGUUCAGUCUGUCUGCAAAGCCUCCCUUGUCAGCAGCUGGCGAGGCAGCUCAACAAUAGAAUGAUGCUUGUUUCACCGCUUCCAACUGAGCUCCCUCGCCAAGCUCUCUCCCUCCAGCACAGAGAGGUGCAUCUGCAAUAGACCUGAGGGCUGGUGGUGGGGUCUUCAGCAAUGUUUUUUCCAGCUUGAUGCUCAGCCCAGAAAGAGCCUUUCCUCUCCACCUGCUGCCACAGAGCCCACCACCACCUCUGGCUGCUGCCUUGUAGAAAUUCCAGCUAGCUCCAGUGGAAAUCUCUGGGCUGGUGAUAAAUGCACAGUGGGGCAAGGCUGCCUGGGGAUGGGGAGAUUGUAGAAAAUGACUUCUGGAGUCCUCUCCAGACUUCCAUCAUUAGGACAAUUGUUCUCAGGGGCUUUGAAGUCUCUUGCUGUUUUGCGCCAUUUUCUUUCUAUAGUAAUGGUCAGAUUCUUCAGGGCUAGAAAGAGUUUGAAGGCCAUCUGGUCCACUCUCAUUUCUCUCCCCUCCAAUGCCUUCUUCUCUCCCCUUUCCAUGUUUAAAUCUCCUCUACAAGUUGGGCAACGUUUCACUUAUACCCUUACAGCUACAGGAUGCUCAGAGGGUCUCAAGGUCCCUGGCUUUUCUUCUGUUGAGCUGGAGUCUGUCCACAUUGGGUUGAUAACAACUGGCUCUGCUUUUACCCCAUGGAGCAACAGGAUGGAGUCUCAGCUCUCCCCUCCACGACAGCCUGGCUCCUGCUGAAAGGCGACUAGCAUGAAACCCCGAGGCUUCUCCUCCAGGAGAACAAGGCUGACUUCCUUGAACUCCUCCUCACAUGCACAGUUUUAAGUCCGUUUGACUGGAAACGAACAUUUGAAAUCCAUCUCGAUUCAGACUUCCUCCUUCUGAGGGAUUUAGUAGACAAUAUGACAGCUCCGAGUCCAGCAUGUGGGUUUAUAAAGGUGACAUCAUAGCUGCUGCCCCCAAAGUAUGUCAUUUAGCGCUGAAAGCCUUGUCUGGCUGGUGGUGUUCAGACCCAUGGGAGUCAGUCAGCUGCUGGAGCACUCACUGCCCAGAAUCCCAGGCUUCGAGGGAGGUACGAAGGAAGAGGAGGCCUGAGCCGGCUCGUGUGGGGCCCUCAGAUUAAGGCAGGCUGGAAGAAACACCAGAAAGAGACUUAAUGACAUUCAUAAAGGAGCCCAGAGGGCUGCAGUGAAGCAUGUGCAGAUGCUGGGGCCUGCCCAGGUAGCCUGUGCAGAGGCUUCCAGAGAAAGCUGGGUCAACUUGCAAGAGAAAGUGGAGAGCAAGAGGAGGAAGAGCUUCCUAAUGGCAGAGGUGGAAGCCAGAGAUUCAGUAGUGUGAAGGACGCUGAAAAGGCAGAAGGGGUGAAAAGGCUGCGUAUGUGUGGGCGGGGUGGGGUUAAUAGAAAAUUAGAGGGGUGAGGUGGAGAACUUAUCGGGACUGAACGUGUAGGGCAGGCUUUUCCAGAGGAGGAGAUGAGACUUGUGCCUAGAAAAACAUAUUAUUAGGAAGAACACUCCCUUUUAGUUUGUCUUUUUUUUUUUUUUUUUUGCUUUUUGUGGAUAAAAGAGUCUCACUAUGUUGCCCAGGCAAGUUUCAAACUCCUGGGCUCAAUCUAUCCCCCCACCUCUGCCUUUCUAAAUGCUGGGAUUACAGGCAUGAGCCACCGGACCUUUUGUCUUCCAAAUGGGACACUGCUGAAUCCCCAGGGACAUUGUCCUCAAAAGACAGUAAGCCACUGAGGUGUGAGCUUGGUGGAGUCCACCCUGCAUUCUGGGUUCUUUGUCCUCCAGUGUGUACAGAUAUGUCUGGCCACCAGCACUUUCACCGAUGCCAAGAUGAGAAAUGUUUUCAAGGGUUCCCAGACAGCCUUACCAGGAAAUCACUGUUGGCAGGAGAAUCAACCAGUCUUUUCAGGUUACAGUGGCUGCUAGGGAAGAAUUACAGGCCAGGAGAGGCCUCCGCUUGGGCCACCUUUUUGCUGAUGAAGUGGCAGCAGACCAAGCUACCUUCACUCCAUGGAAAUACAACGCACACCUGUUGGCUCUCAGGUCCUUUCCAGAGAGAUCAGCUCUUUGGGGAGCUGCAUCCCAGCACGAGAGCAUUCCAAUUCCUUCCCUCCACCUCUGUGCCCGAUUUCCAAUUUGUUGGUUUUUUCCAUUUCAUUUCCCUCCUGUUCACCUUUCCUCCCUGCGGGAUCAUUUGGGGCUUUGAUUUCCUUUUGUCAGAGUGAGCAUUUCCUUCCUAUUACACCGUCCCUCUCUGCCCCUACUCCCAUGACUUUGUUUAAUUCAGCUGCUUUCUGCACCUGGCUCUGCCUCACAGCCACGGGGAGGGAAGGAUUACAGCCAGAAAGCGCGCUUCACCUCCCCGCACAUGACACUCGUCUCUGCUAAUAACAGGAAGAAAUGAGCUUUAAUGACUGACACCGCUGUGCCUGGACUGGGGACUUGGAGAAGGCAGUCCCUGGUGGUCUGCCCAGUAUCUUGGCAGCAGGAUGCUGGGAGAGCCCCAGAAGCCCUGGCUGCUGGAGGUCCCAGCCUCUCUCCCUUUGCCUCCAGGAAGGAUAGCCCCACAGCCACUUGACAUACUUGACAUGGAUGAAGGGUGUGGGGGUUGGGGGGGAGGAGGAGAGAAGUGGUAGCCUCUCUAAGAACUGCAGAAAAGGAAAUCCUAUGAUCUGACUUCCAUGCUACCAGUUCUGGGACCCUCCUGUGGGAAUUAAUUGCUCUAACCUAAACUUUGCCCACUGUAGUUUUAAAUGAGUUUGCCCUCAGAUGUGAGUAAUCUGGCCGUCUUAUCUUUCACUCCACUGACCUCCAGGGUUGGCCUGACAGGUCAGGUGGGGGGUCCUUAUCUCCUUCCUCACUUUAUCCAUCUCACUCAGGUCUUCGGUUCAGGCUCCACAACUGAUUGAUGCUGUUUUCCUGUUAGUAUCUCUUUUUCAUCAUGCACGAUCCUCCAUAGUGAUGGAAUGGAGACAGCUUCUCAGAGAAAGCACAGCUUUGGAAGCUUCAGCCAGACACCGUACAAGGGACAGGGGAGACUGAGAUGAAGAACACUCGGUGCUUCUUCCCAAGGCACUCGCAAUCUCGGAGAAGACAGAUGUGUACUCACACAGAUGCAUAUGCUACAGCACUGUGUGAUGAUGCUAUACAUGCACAAAGUGACCGGGAACAGAGCGGCCGUCCCUGGCGACUCAGGGGAGGCAUCACACGAGAGAUGACUUUAGAACCGGGCCUUUAAAGGAAACACAGGAUCUCUGCAGCAGUCAAGAAGGGGAAGAGAAGACUUGGUGUUAAAAAAUCAUGGGUUCAGGACAUACUGCCCCACAAUAUGGCACUUUGGCAUGUUGAAUAUUUUAAGCUAGAGGAAUUUGAGAAAACAGCAGAAGCAGGAAGGUCCCCUGAGGCGGUCCCCUGAAGUGGUCAUAAACUUUGGGAAGGACUCUGACCUUCUGAAGCAGGUCAUAAGACCCUCGUGUGAGAGUUGCCCUUCCUGUAGCUGGAGGAAAGGGGCAUCCUUAUCUCUCAAGACAAAAGGAGACAGAGAGGAAUCCAGAAAAACAAGCCUUGCUAAGCUUCCCCAGUUCACC
rnacentral:lncRNA from 1 species